rnacentral:rRNA from 1 species
CACGUAGGGGGCGAGCGUUGUCCGGAAUUAUUGGGCGUAAAGAGCUCGUAGGCGGUCUGUCGCGUCUGCUGUGAAAACUCAGGGCUUAACCCUGAGCUUGCAGUGGGUACGGGCAGACUAGAGUGCGGUAGGGGAGACUGGAAUUCCUGGUGUAGCGGUGAAAUGCGCAGAUAUCAGGAGGAACACCGGUGGCGAAGGCGGGUCUCUGGGCCGUAACUGACGCUGAGGAGCGAAAGCAUGGGGAGCGAACAGG